AAUAAAAGGACCUGGGGAGACUGGAAAUGGCUCUAACCUUCUUCCUCUCGAAGACAACCUCCCUUCCGCAAUUCCUCCUAGCUUGUAUCCAGAUCCAUAGUGGAAUAGAUUGAGAAGAGGGACGUAACGCCUGGCCACCCUCCCUUCAGUCCUCAGAUCCCAGGUGGUGACGGAAGAAGGACCGCUCGACUGGAAGGGCGGGGGAAGCUCCGCUGCAUGUUGGACGAAGACGGACGACGAGGGGCUCAUGUUCGUCGGUUAAAGGUUAGGAGCGAGAGAGGAGAUCCGACAGCUAAAAAUAGCCAGAUCCGACGCAUAGGGUGCGACCGGCCCAAAUUUGGGACGGCGCACCGACAAAGAUCACUCCCCACACGUAAUGGACUGAAAUUUGCUAACUCGCUAGGUUUCCAUCGAUCGGAGGCGGAAUCAGACUCCCUACAAGUGAUCAACUUUUGUACAGGCCCCUGUAAAAAAAAAACUUCUGUACGGCCAACCAAAAUGGUGGGACGCAGCAGCGGCGAUUUUUGCAGAAGUUUAGACUUAGCUUCGAUGAUUGGGAAGAUCUCUUUUAAACAUUGUUUUUGUUCAGCUGAUCAAGCACAUGUGCUAGCUAAUCUCUGUUAUUGUAACAAGAACUCGCCUAAUUGGACUGGCGAACCUCCAGGUCAACAAGCUUGUGAGUAAUGUAACGUUGUUCUGUUACCAAUAAAGCUAGACAUGAUGGUCUUCCCUCAAAAAAA